UGGAUAUUCUCAAGAUAAUGUGGAUUUCCUGUCAUAUGUCUUGAACAUCCGCUGUCAAAAUACCAAACACUUUGUUCUUGGCUUGUUUCUGAGUACGCCUUUAUGUGUCCCAAUUUGUGGCAGUAAUAACAUCUGAUUCUCCUUCGGUGUUGAAAGUGAUGUUGUGACACCUCAGGAUUUUCAGAAGAGUGGCUUUCACUGGACGCUGGAUUUGGAGAUCUAGGCCUUCCAUCUAGUGCCUUGAUUUCUUGUAACAGUUUGGCCUCUCUGUUUUUAGAUUCUAAUAAUUCAUUUUGAGUUUCUUUGA